UACGAACCGUCCAAACGUUACUCGGAAUUACUGGGCUUAAAGGGUGCGUCGGCUGCGCGGAGGGUGGGAUGUGAAAUCCCCCGGCUCAACCGGGGAAUAGCGUCCCAAACCGCCGUGCUCGAGGGAGACAGAGGUGAGCGGAACUGAUGGUGGAGCGGUGAAAUUCGUAGAUAUUCGCAAGAACACCAGUGGCGAAGGCGGCUCACUGGCCCGAUACUGACGCUGAGGCACGAAAGCGUGGGGAGCAAACAGG
rnacentral:rRNA from 1 species